AUUGAACGCUGGCGGCAGGCUUAACACAUGCAAGUCGAGCGGGGGAGAUUGCUUCGGUAAUUGACCUAGCGGCGGACGGGUGAGUAAUACUUAGGAAUCUGCCUAUUAAUGGGGGACAACAUCUCGAAAGGGAUGCUAAUACCGCAUACGCCCUACGGGGGAAAGCAGGGGAUCACUUGUGACCUUGCGUUAAUAGAUGAGCCUAAGUCGGAUUAGCUAGUUGGUGGGGUAAAGGCCUACCUAGGCGACGAUCUGUAGCGGGUCUGAGAGGAUGAUCCGCCACACUGGGACUGAGACACGGCCCAGACUCCUACGGGAGGCAGCAGUGGGGAAUAUUGGACAAUGGGGGGAACCCUGAUCCAGCCAUGCCGCGUGUGUGAAGAAGGCCUUAUGGUUGUAAAGCACUUUAAGCGAGGAGGAGGCUCUUUUGGUUAAUACCCAAGAUGAGUGGACGUUACUCGCAGAAUAAGCACCGGCUAACUCUGUGCCAGCCGCCGCGGUAAUAC
rnacentral:rRNA from 1 species